rnacentral:rRNA from 1 species
AGCUCUUUGAGUAUUUAAAGGGUCCAGCCUGCCCAGUGGCUUAAAGCUAAACGGCCGCGGUAUCUUGACCGUGCAAAGGUAGCAUAAUCACUUGUCUUUUAAAUGGAGACUUGUAUGAACGGCGAAACCUUUUUCAACUGUCUCUCCUCCCACCCUUCAAAAUUUCUUUCCGUGUGAAGAAGCACAGAUAUACCAGAAAGACGAGAAGACCCUGUCGAGCUUUAGCCAUUAAGUGAACACUCCUAUUUACUUAGAUAUCACCUAAAGGUUUUGGUUGGGGCAACCGUGGAGAAAAAAAUCCUCCAGAAUAAAUAGAAGAAAACCCUUCACUAAUUAUCAACACUUAAAGAACCAGGAACUGGUAUUCGGAAAAAGUUACCGCAGGGAUAACAGCGUUAUCUCCUCUGAGAGUCCUUAUUGACGAGGAGGCUUGCGACCUCGAUGUUGGAUUGGGGCCCCCUUAGGGUGCAGAAGCUCUAAACGGUUAGACUGUUCGUCUAUUAAAGCCCU